rnacentral:rRNA from 1 species
AUGAAUGGGCCGCCAGCAGAUCCUAUCUUCAAACGGCUUUGGAAAAAUGCUUCCAUGCCCAGAUACAAAAUCUUUCUUUGGCUCAUGUUACAUGACAGAGUAAACACCAGAAACCUUCUGCAUCGCAAGACCUUUCACCUGCCAUCAUAUAACUGUGAACUCUGCCGGAAUUAUGUGGAAGAAACAGCUCUACAUCUGUUUUGGGACUGUGACUUUGCUUUACAAUGUUGGGAUUCAAUUGUUCUCAAUAGAAACAGGGGCAAAGAAAUUUGCUUAAGGAAACCUUGCCAAGGCCCAUUGCCUUCGAGAUCAUUACUAUGGGAUGUUGGCACAUCUGGAUGCAAAGAAAUGGGAAGCUUUUCCAAGCACGCUCAGCCUCAGUAA